UACGUAGGGUGCGAGCGUUAAUCGGAAUUACUGGGCGUAAAGCGUGCGCAGGCGGCUUUGCAAGACAGAUGUGAAAUCCCCGGGCUCAACCUGGGAACUGCAUUUGUGACUGCAAGGCUAGAGUACGGCAGAGGGGGAUGGAAUUCCGCGUGUAGCGGUGAAAUGCGUAGAUAUGCGGAGGAACACCAAUGGCGAAGGCAAUCCCCUGGGCCUGCACUGACGCUCAUGCACGAAAGCGUGGGGAGCAAACAGG
rnacentral:rRNA from 1 species